rnacentral:rRNA from 1 species
UACAGAGGUCUCAAGCGUUGUUCGGAUUCAUUGGGCGUAAAGGGUGCGUAGGCGGCGCGGUAAGUCGGGUGUGAAAUCUCGGAGCUUAACUCCGAAACUGCAUUCGAUACUGCCGUGCUUGAGGACUGGAGAGGAGACUGGAAUUUACGGUGUAGCGGUGAAAUGCGUAGAUAUCAGGAGGAACACCGGUGGCGAAGGCGGGUUGCUGGGCUGACACUGACGCUGAGGCGCGAAAGCGUGGGGAGCGAACAGG